UUCUAUGGUCCCCAAUCAUAACUGGGUCCGGAUGGAUUAGAGAUUUUUCUUUAACAGUGGUAACAACAGAAUCAACCUUAACAUGCUAAUUCUUAUUUAGACAUUGCCCUAAUGUGAUUCUCAAACAUGCUUUUCUAAAAUCAAUGCAAGUACACGGACAUGCAUUCAUGACAAGAAAAUAAGCAGACAUGAUGUUGAAUACACAUGGCAAAUAAUCAAAGAUAAGACAAGAGCAAGGUAGGCAGUUAUGCAAUUCAGAAGAUUCAGUACUCUCUACUUAAACCAAUUAACACAAGUGUAACAGGUAGCAAGUAGAAUUACAGAUAUUCAAUAAUCUUCUAAGAGCAUAAGGAUUAAUCCCAAUCU
rnacentral:lncRNA from 1 species